rnacentral:rRNA from 1 species
ACGCUCGACACCUACUGGAGGCAGCAGUGAGGAAUAUUGGUCAAUGGGCGCUAGCCUGAACCAGCCAAGUAGCGUGAAGGAUGAAGGCUCUAUGGGUCGUAAACUUCUUUUAUAUAAGAAUAAAGUGCAGUAUGUAUACUGUUUUGUAUGUAUUAUAUGAAUAAGGAUCGGCUAACUCCGCGCCAGCAGCCGCGGUAAUCUGAGCGGGCUGGCAAGGC